CUGCUCGCACUUUCUAUAUGGAGCUGGGAGUGAUUGCCGGUUGGACGACCGAAGACCGUGAAGUACGAGGAUUGGAACAACCAUGACGACCCACUACGGUACCCCACUUGGGGUUACAAGUGGGAUGUGGUAAAUGAGACGACGGAUGAUCCCUCAGUCAUGUACAAGUUGUACAAGAGCGAGCUAGACACGGUCACAGGUGAGCAGGUGUCGGUGUUCUGGAUAUGGGGUUAUCCAGCCCUGCCUGUCUGCGGCCCACCACGUGGCUCCAUCGAUGGCCUGGUACGGCCCAACUUCAGCAUCAACAACUCAAGACCCUCGCGAGGGGCCAAGCCUUGCGAGGCGAACGGCGCCAAGACCCCUGAGGGGAUCGGCCUCUUCAGGCUGGCUCCCGAGGGGUGGAGAGUUCUAUGCAAGGUUUACCUCACGAGGCUCAGCUGA
rnacentral:rRNA from 1 species